GUUCUUGCGCAAAACUCUGGUUUUGACCUUCAGGAAACAUUAGUUAAAGUUCAAGCUGAACAUUCAGAAUCGGGCCAGCUCGUAGGUGUGGAUCUGAGCACAGGUGAGCCGAUGGUGGCCGCAGAGAUGGGUGUGUGGGAUAACUACUGUGUGAAGAAGCAGCUGCUACACUCCUGUACUGUGAUCGCCACCAACAUUCUCCUGGUCGACGAGAUCAUGCGAGCUGGGAUGUCCUCUCUGAAGGGUUGAGGCCUGCCUGUGAUACUACAGGAUGUUGGGGGGAAUGGUUAUUUUUGUCCAAGCUUCAAGUGAUUUGGAAAAAAAUUUUCUCUUCCUGAUUGGAGAAAAGAAACGGGACAUUUGACACCUAUUCAAAUUAUACUGUAAAAUUUUAUUUUAUUUUUGCCUUGA
ensembl:processed_transcript